UGCGCAGGUGGGCUGGUAAGUUCGAUGUGAAAGCCCCGGGCUUAACCCGGGAAAGGCAUUGGAAACUACUGGUCUGGAGGAUUGGAGGGGGGACUGGAAUUCUUGGUGUAGCAGUGAAAUGCGUAGAUAUCAAGAGGAACACCAGUGGCGAAGGCGAGUCCCUGGACAAUUCCUGACACUGAGGCACGAAAGCUAGGGGAAGCAAACAG
rnacentral:rRNA from 1 species